rnacentral:rRNA from 1 species
CCUACGGGAGGCAGCAGUGGGGAAUAUUGGGCAAUGGGCGCAAGCCUGACCCAGCAAUGCCGCGUGAAGGAAGGAGGCUUUCGGGUUGUAAACCUCUUUGACAGGGGAAGAGGAGAAGACGGUACCCUGAAAACAAGCCGCGGCUAACUACGUGACAGCAGCCGAGGUAAUACGUAGGUGGCAAGCGUUGUCCGGAUUUACUGGGUGUAAAGGGCGUGUAGCCGGGAAGGCAAGUCAGAUGUGAAAUCCGGAGGCUCAACCCUCGAAUUGCAUUUGAAACUGUUUGUCGUGAGGACUGGAGAGGCAGGCGGAAUUCCUUGUGUAGCGGUGAAAUGCGUAGAUAUAAGGAGGAACACCAGUGGCGAAGGCGGUCUGCUGGACAGCGACUGACGGUGAGGCGCGAAAGCGUGGGGAGCAAACAGGAUUAGAUACCCUAGUAGUC